rnacentral:rRNA from 1 species
UACGGGGGGGGCUAGCGUUGUUCGGAAUUACUGGGCGUAAAGGGCUCGUAGGUGGCCAACUAAGUCAUGCGUGAAAUCCCUCGGCUUAACCGGGGAACUGCGUCUGAUACUGGAUGGCUUGAAUCCGGGAGAGGGAUGCGGAAUUCCAGGUGUAGCGGUGAAAUGCGUAGAUAUCUGGAGGAACACCGGUGGCGAAGGCGGCAUCCUGGACCGGUAUUGACACUGAGGAGCGAAAGCCAGGGGGAGCAAACGGGAGUUAGAAUGACC